rnacentral:rRNA from 1 species
UACGAAGGGGGCUAGCGUUGUUCGGAAUCACUGGGCGUAAAGGGCGCGUAGGCGGCUUUAUAAGUCUGGGGUGAAAGCCUGUGGCUCAACCACAGAAUUGCCUUCGAUACUGUAGAGCUUGAGCCCGGAAGAGGUAAGUGGAACUGCGAGUGUAGAGGUGAAAUUCGUAGAUAUUCGCAAGAACACCAGUGGCGAAGGCGGCUCACUGGCCCGGGACUGACGCUGAGGUGCGAAAGCGUGGGGAGCAAACAGG